AUCCCUCCUGCUCCUACAAAGCCAGACUUUGAUGGCCCUCGAGAGAAGAUGCAGAAACUGGGAGAAGGUGAAGGAUCUAUGACAAAAGAAGAAUUUGCCAAGAUGAAGCAAGAACUGGAAGCUGAGUAUCUCGCUGUCUUUAAGAAGACUGUGUCCUCACAUGAAGUCUUUCUUCAGCGGCUUUCUUCUCACCCUGUUCUCAGUAAAGACCGAAACUUCCAUGUUUUCUUGGAAUAUGAUCAGGAUGUAAGGCAAUUUUUCUGUUUUCAUGCUUGAAAAUAAUGAGCUUCUUGUGUUUGCAUUUAUUGUUACAGAAAAAGUGGGAAAAACACCUUUUCUUCCUUUUUAGAUACAUUAAAGUUCACUUUCUAAAAACUACUGAAAGAACAUUGACCCACCACCCACUACCCCGCAAACUGAUUUUCUUCCUUCUGUUUAAUUUGUUGGAAGAAAUUGAAAUAUAUGUAUCUUUACUUCAGGUUAUUGGCUUUUUUAAAAAAGAUUUAUUUGUUAUAUAAUAAAUACGCUGUAUUUAUAAGUAAAUGUAUAGUUAAAUAAUAUAUAAUAAGUACCCUAUAGGUGUCUUUAGACACACCAGAAGAGGGCAUCAGAUCUCAUUACAGAUGGUUGUGGGCCACCAAGUGGUUGUUGGGAUUUGAACUCAGGACCUCUGAAAGAGCAGUCAGUGUUCUUAACUGCUGA
rnacentral:lncRNA from 1 species